UCUAACUCCCCCUUCGCUUUUCUUAUCUGACCUCGCCUCAUUCCUAGCCACUCAACCAAAGAGAGCGGCAGAGAGACUUGGAAGGAGAACCAAAAGGAAAAGGAGACCAAAGGCGUUUUCUUCUAGAUGUUUUCAGAAAGGUGUUCACGUCAUUUCCAGAUUCCAUGAAGAGAUAAUCUCCAAGGUAUCACUCAAAUUAAGGAGACGGUACUUUUUCCCUCCCCCGCCCUUCUCCACGCACCAGUGGAAGACGAGGGAGGAGACGGCUGAGAGAAGACGAGGAAGGGGGAAAAGUGAGAGAAGCAAGAUGAGAAAGAGGUGUUGAAGGAAGAGACGAAGGCGAGCAGAGAGGAGUGUUAGGGGUGGUGGCGAGCCCCCGGCGACCGCCCUCCCGCCCGCCCGCGCUCGGGACCCAGCCGGGCGCGGCGCCCAAGUCCCGCAGCGCGCAGCCGGCCCGCGGCCCCGCGAGUAGCCCGGACGCGCGGCUCUCCGGCCGGCAGCUGCCGGCGCCCCGCGCGCUAGCGCCCGCCCGCUCCCGGCCCUGGAGCGCCGCCUUCCCCGCUCCGGACUGCUGCGGGGCAGCGCUCCCGGAUGAGCUAAGAAGAGCCAGUGAGAUUAAAGUAGACUGUGAGCCUUUGGCGGACUUCUCACAAGAACAGGAACUUGAGGAGGCAGAGUGGUGAUGAAAACCGAUCAUUUGAUCUGUCACAAUAUGUUCACUAAAUAUCGAUUGAGUGUCCACUGAUGCAUGGCACUGGAAAACCAUUCCAAAAAGAUAGAGCCAUUAACAAAAAGGGGCCUUACCUGUUCAAUACGUAUGCUAAUUAAUGGUCACAGCUGCAGCCUGGACAUCCUCCUAAAGAAUGCAGAGGGACCUGGAACCUAACCGAGCUUCAGGGAAGGUAUUUACAGUCCAUCUACCCUUUUGUCUGAUUGCCUAAUGUGUUCCAGCCACAGUGCUAGACAUUAUUAUAUCAU